rnacentral:tRNA from 1 species
GCGGCAGUAGCUCAAUUGGAUAGAGCAUCUGGCUUCGGACCAGAGGGUUGGGGGUUCGAGUCCUCUCUGCCGCA